UCUCCGUAGGUGAACCUGCGGAGGGAUCAUUCACAUGAUUACCUUUUCAACAAACUGUGAACCUUUUAUAAUCUAUUCGUGUGUGUUUGUGUCGGUUUGAUUUCGAUCAUCCAUAUCUCAACAUCACACUGUCAUUCGAUGAACAUUAGAUAGCUGGCUUGAUUUUCGAAUCUUUCUCAGCUGAUUGUUUUUGAAUUUAAUUACUCGAUACAAUCAACCAACAAACAUAGAAACAACUCUAUGCCCUGGAUAUCUUGGUUCUCGCAUCGAUGAAGAACGCAGC
rnacentral:misc_RNA from 1 species